rnacentral:rRNA from 1 species
AAUCAACGCUGGCGGCGUGCCUAACACAUGCAAGUUGAGCGCGAAAGGGGGGGUAACUCCCCGAGUACAGCGGCAGACGGGUGAGUAACGCGUGGGUAAUCUACCCUCGAGUGGGGAAUAACCCCGGGAAACCGCUGCUAAUUCCGCAUGACAUCCUCGGUUCGUUCCGGGGAUCAAAGCCGGGGACCUUCGGGCCUGGCGCUUGAGGACGAGCCCGCGUCCGAUUAGCUUGUUGGUGGGGUAAUGGCCUACCAAGGCGACAAUCGGUAGCCGGCCUGAGAGGGCGGACGGCCACACUGGGACUGAGACACGGCCCAGACUCCUACGGGAGGCAGCAGUGGGGAAUUUUUCGCAAUGGGGGAAACCCUGACGAAGCAACGCCGCGUGGAGGAUGAAGGCCUUCGGGUCGUAAACUCCUGUCAAUCGGGAAGAAUGUAUAUUGGUCCAAUACACCAGUAUAUUGACGGUACCGGUGGAGGAAGCUCCGGCUAACUCUGUGCCAGCAGCCGCGGUAAUACAGAGGGAGCAAGCGUUGUUCGGAAUUACUGGGCGUAAAGGGCGCGUAGGCGGUCUGGAAAGUCUCGCGUGAAAUCCCCCGGCUCAACUGGGGAACGGCGCGGGAAACUGCCAGUCUUGAGUUCGGGAGAGGGAAGCGGAAUUCCGGGUGUAGCGGUGAAAUGCGCAGAUAUCCGGAGGAACAUCGGUGGCGAAGGCGGCUUCCUGGACCGACACUGACGCUGAGGCGCGAAAGCUAGGGGAGCAAACGGGAUUAGAUACCCCGGUAGUCCUAGCUGUAAACGUUGAGUGCUGGGUGUUGGGGGUGUCAACCCCUCCAGUGCCGAAGCUAACGCAUUAAGCACUCCGCCUGGGGAGUACGGUCGCAAGGCUGAAACUCAAAGGAAUUGACGGGGGCCCGCACAAGCGGUGGAGCAUGUGGUUCAAUUCGACGCAACGCGAAGAACCUUACCGGGGUUUGAACUGUACGGGACCGUCCUUGGAAACUUGGACCUUCCCUUCGGGACUUGAAUAGAGGUGCUGCACGGCUGUCGUCAGCUCGUGUCGUGAGAUGUUGGGUUAAGUCCCGCAACGAGCGCAACCCUUGCCCUGUGUUGCCACUCCCUUCGGGGGGAAGCACUCUCAGGGGACCGCCAGCGACAAGUUGGAGGAAGGUGGGGACGACGUCAAGUCAUCGUGGCCUUUAUGUCCAGGGCUACACACGUGCUACAAUGGCCGGUACAAAGCGCUGCCAACCCGCGAGGGGGAGCCAAUCGCAAAAAACCGGUCUCAGUUCGGAUCGCAGGCUGCAACUCGCCUGCGUGAAGCUGGAAUCGCUAGUAAUGGCGUAUCAGAACGACGCCGUGAAUACGUUCCCGGGCCUUGUACACACCGCCCGUCACAUCACGAAAGUGGAUUGUACUAGAAGUCUGCAAGCUAACCUUCGGGAGGCAGCGGCCCAAGGUGUGAUCCAUGAUUGGGGUGUG